rnacentral:misc_RNA from 1 species
UUGAAUGAACGAAGGGUUGUCGCUGGCUCUUAGGAGCAUGUGCACACCUUUCACACUUCAUAUUAACCACCUGUGCACUUUUAGUAGACUAUGGUAACACUCAGUCUUCGGAUUGGAUUAGAGGAGGAUGCGUUUAGCUCUCCCUCAAUUCCAUAGUCUACGUUUUAUCUAUAUACUAUACUGUCCAGAAUGUUUGUUAUUAGGUCUUGCGCCUAUAAACUUUAUA